rnacentral:rRNA from 1 species
CUAGUUGGUGAGGUAAUGGCUCACCAAGGCUAUGAUCCGUAGCUGGUCUGAGAGGAUGAUCAGCCACACUGGAACUGAGACACGGUCCAGACUCCUACGGGAGGCAGCAGUAGGGAAUAUUGCGCAAUGGGCGAAAGCCUGACGCAGCGACGCCGCGUGAGUGAUGAAGGCCUUCGGGUCGUAAAGCUCUGUUGCAGGGGAAUAAAAAAAUGAAUGUACCCUGUGAGGAAGGAUCGGCUAACUUCGUGCCAGCAGCCGCGGUAAGACGAGGGAUCCUAGCGUUGCUCGGAAUCAUUGGGCGUAAAGAGGGCGUAGGUGGCUUUGUAAGUCAGGUGUGAAAGCCCUGGGCUCAACCCAGGAAGUGCAUUUGAAACUGCGAAGCUUGAGUGUUGGAGAGGUCAUCGGAAUACCUGGUGUAGUGGUGAAAUACGUAGAUAUCAGGUGGAACACCGGAGGCGAAGGCGGGUGACUGGCCAAACACUGACACUGAGGCCCGAAAGCGUGGGGAUCAAACAGGAUUAGAUACCCUGGUAGUCCACGCCGUAAACGAUGGAUACUUGCUGUUGGAGGUAUUGACCCCUUCAGUGGCGCAGCUAACGCGUUAAGUAUCCCGCCUGGGGAGUACGGUCGCAAGAUUAAAACUCAAAGGAAUUGACG